AGAAUGAACGCUGGCGGCAGGCCUAACACAUGCAAGUCGAACGGGCACUUCGGUGCUAGUGGCGGACGGGUGAGUAACGCGUGGGAACAUACCCUUUGGUACGGAAUAGCCUCGGGAAACUGGGAGUAAUACCGUAUGUGCCCUUCGGGGGAAAGAUUUAUCGCCAAAGGAUUGGCCCGCGUUGGAUUAGGUAGUUGGUGGGGUAAUGGCCUACCAAGCCGACGAUCCAUAGCUGGUUUGAGAGGAUGAUCAGCCACACUGGGACUGAGACACGGCCCAGACUCCUACGGGAGGCAGCAGUGGGGAAUCUUAGACAAUGGGGGAAACCCUGAUCUAGCCAUGCCGCGUGAUCGAUGAAGGCCUUAGGGUUGUAAAGAUCUUUCAGUGGGGAAGAUAAUGACGGUACCACAGAAGACGCCCGGCUAACUCCGUGCCAGCAGCCGC
rnacentral:rRNA from 1 species